rnacentral:lncRNA from 1 species
CAGAUCUGAAAGUCAGAAAAACCUGGUUUCUAAUCCCAGCUCCAUCACUUGUCUGUCGUGGGACCUUGCGCGAGUGCAUUCACAUCACUGUGGCUCAGUUCCCUCCUGUGUAAAAUGUGGAUUGAGACUGUGAGCCCCAAACGGGACAGGGACUGCGUCCCUCCCGAUUUGCUUGUAUCCCUCCCAGCAAUUAGUACAGUGCCUGCCACAUAGUGAGUACUUCAAAAAUACAAUAAUAAUAUCUAUUAUUAUUACUGAUAAUAAUUAAAUGGGGAUUAAGAUUGUUAGUCCCAUGUGGGACAUAGACUGAUUAACUUGAAUCUCCCCUAUCACUGAACGCAGUCCGUGGCACACAGUGAGUGACUGACAGACACUAUUAAAAAAAAAUAGUGGAAAAUGAUUGGACUCCAGACCUCUUCUGAAGACAGUUUCACAGAAUCUCUCCAUUAUUAACAUCUCCCAUUAGACAGUUAUCAUGAAGUCAGUAGCUCAGAGAGAUGAAAGACCCUUGAGCGUUGAGCAAAUACUGUAGAUAGACUACACUUCAAUCCAGUUAACAGUGUGAGGGCUUCCUGUGUGUUCCCUUUGGAGGUUUGUGCAGUGAAGUUAUGUUCCGCCCUCAGCUUGUUCUGAACGACUGUCAUCGACUCACCAGAUCUGCAAUGUUUCUCACUGAGUUUCUCCCCAGGUGACAUAGAGUGGGUUGGCUUUUUCAUUUUCUCAUCCCUCCCUUGGUCUCCGGGCCCUGCAUCCUCCGCCGAAGACGCUGGAAAAUAGCUUUCCGGAACAGAAUCCAUGUCUACUUCCUGGCGGCUCCUGGCCGGGACUCUGGGCGUCCUGGCUCUGGCCCUCUUAGCGUCUGUGCUAGCACUGGGGAUCCUCAUGACAAACUGAACAAUGAUGGUGAGUAAUAAAAUCUUGGUCAUGUUUUUAGACUCUUCUGGCCAAAGACCCGAGAGCCCUUUCUCAGUUCCCAACACAACUCAAAAAGGCUGCUACUCUGGCUCUUGCCCAGAGAACUGGAUCUGGAACAGAGGCAACUGUUAUUACCUUUCUAGAGAAGACAAGAAUUGGUCAGAGAGUCAAACUGCCUGCAGGAGUAUGAAUUCCAGUCUCCUGAAGAUAGAAGACAGGGAGGAGUUGCAAGUGCAUUCUCUCAUAUGUGAAUUUCUAAUAGCUAUUUUGGGGGGUAAAAUUAUGGAUACUUACACUAUUUGUUGCAAAAAUCUGAUUAUUAUUAGUAGUAGUAUGGUAUUUGUUAAGCUCUUGCUAUAUGCUAACCGCUGUUCUAAGCGUUGAGGUAGAUACAAAUUUAAAAGUUUGGACUUGUCCCACAUGGGGCUCACACUCUUAAUCCCCAUUUUACGGACGAGGUAACUGAGACCCAGAGAAAUUAAGUCAUUUGCCCAAGGUCACACAGGAGAAAUGUGAUGGAGCCUGGAUUAGAGCCUGGGUCUUUCUGACUGGGAGGCCCAUGCUCUAUCCACUAAACCAUUCUGCUUUUCAUAAUAAUACUAAUAAUAAUGAUGGUAUUUAUCAAGCACUUACUAUGUACCAAGCACUGUUCUAAGCGCUGGGGUAGAUGCAAGGUUACCAGGUUGUCCCCGUGGGACCCCUAGUCUUAGUCCCCAUUUUACAGAUGAGUGAACUGAGGUACAGACCAGUGAGGUGACUUGCCCAAAGUCACACAGUGGUAGAGCUGGAAUUUAAACCCAUGACCUCUGAGUCCCAAGCCCGAGACUUUGCCACUAGGUCAUGCCAGGCACCCUGCCUUAUCGAGCGCUUACAGUGUGCAGAACACUACACUAAGCUCUUGGGAGGAAAAAAAUAUAACAGUGUGACAGAGACAUUCUCAAUUUUUGACACUUCCGACCUUCCACUGGUUAUCAGUGGGUUGGUUCAUAAAACUACCAAGAAGGUGCCAGUUCUCAGGUAAAGAAAGAGGGAGAAAUCUUUGUCCUUCACCCGUAACAGAGGGAUAGUCUAAGAAUCAAUGAAGCAUUGGAAAGGGUGACUUAAUUCACAUUACCCUUCCUGAACGGAAGGCUGGCUUUGUCGGCAAUAAUUGUGAGGCAAUGAAGAUAUUGCCCUAAAAACAUGGAGCAUGACGAGAACAGAAGACUACUCACAUUCAUCAUCAGACUUGGCUAUCCUUCUUCAUUCUGCUCCUACUAAUUGUCAAUAUGGUUUGUGUGCCUACUGCAUACAACAGGUUAAAAAAUGUAAAACAUUAUUUCCCUUUUACUCAAGAGCUUUUUAUAGAUCUCUCUAUUGGUAAUAUUCAAUAAAUACCAAAGAUUGACUGAUGAAUGGAGAAUCACUGUGAAGAGUAGCCCGGGGUGUCGUUAUAUCCUGGCUAGACUACUGUGUGAGCCUUCUUUCUGAUCUCCCUUCCUCCUCUCUUGCCCCGCUCCAGUCUAUUCUUCACUCCGCUGCCCGGCUCAUCUUCCUGCAAAAACAUUCUGGGCAUGUCACUCCCCUUCUUAAACACCUCCAGUGGUUGCCUAUCAACCUCUGCUCAAAACCAAAACUCCUCACUCCAGGCUUCAAG